ensembl:lncRNA
GUUCGACUUGUGAUUUUGUGAUGGGAAAUCCAGCAUAUCUAUCUUGUUUGCUGUGUCAUAAAAUAAUAAUAAUAAUAAUAAUAAUAAUAAUCUAUAUAUAUAUAUAAAAGAGUGAUGGCAUCAGGGCAGCGGACAAAACAACAAAACUACAGGCCCCCCAACCUUGAAAUUUGACAACACAACCCAUCAUUCACGGCUCUAGGUUGAUACAACAAAAAAGAAAAGAAAAAUAAAGUCCUAAUUACAGGGAGAGGAAUAAUAGUUUUUAUCCAAUUGCUGCCAGUUAGAAGGCUAAGCUCCGCCCACUUGGUCUCCUAGCAACCUCCUCAGCCCAGGGGACAGGCACAGUUAGGCCUCACUUAGGCCUCUUCCACAGAUUAUCAGAUUUUAACUGGAUUAUAUGGCAGUGUAGACUCAAGGCUCUUCCACACAGCUAUAUAACCCAUUUAGAAUCUUAUAUUAUCUGCUUUGAACUGGAUUAUCUUGACUCCACACUGCCAUAUAAUCCACUUCAGUGUGCAUACUAAACAUAAAGACAACCAUACAACAGACAUUCAAUACCACCACUACCUCAACAAUUUCUCACCAACACCACCAGACAACGCCACAGCAACGCGUGGCCGGGCACAGCUAGUAAUAAUAAUAACUUUAUUUGUAUCCCGCCUCCAUCUCCCCGAAGGGACUCAGGGUGGCUAACAUGGGGCCAAGCCCAAACAAUUACAAUAAAACAAAAUAAAAUACAUACAAGACAGACGACAACAUCCAAUAAAAUGAGAGAAGCCUCCCAGCAAUACAGCCAGGCAUCCCCUGAGCAACGUCUCUGUAGAUGGCCAAUUCUCUCACACCAGAGCGACGCUUUUGACAUGAUUAAUAAAGCAGGAAAAGUUAUGGCAGAUGUCUUCUGGGGUUCAGAGGGAGUCCUGCUAGUGGACAUCAGGCCCAAAGGGAGCUUUCUCCCUUAUCACCAAUGUCCAAGCUUGUCUUAGAGGUUGGUUUUAUAAUAAGGGUAGAUUCCUGUUCUCCAAAUAUGACCCAGUCUGGACCCAGCCCAUUAAAUAAUUCUUGCAAAGAUCUAGCAUAAACUGUGAGUAUUAGUAUCUUUAUCUGCAGUUACCAUUCAUCUCAGACAUCUUUUCAAUAAAUGUGUUUAACAACAUCUCUGUUGGAGAAGUAUUGCAAUGAUUUAACAUCUCUGUACCACCUUUCAUGCACCAAAUCCUUUCCAGCCCAUUUCUUAUUUAUCAGGGAAAAAAUAAAUUUCUCAGUGUUAAUGGUACGGCACUUUACCUGGCAAAUCUUUCAGUAAAAAAUAUCUCCAUGGUUUUUCUGAGGUCUGCAAUCUGGAAUGGGUAAUUGUAACAGAUCAGGGAGGGGGCAGUUAUUUUCUCUUGGGACUCUCUAUAUACCAUAUAGGUCAGGGGUAUCAAAUUCAUUUUCACUGAGGGCCACAUCAGGCUUAUGGUGUGUAUGAUGUGUAACGGUAUGACUGUAUAAAUGUAACUAUGUUGCUCUGGCAUUGAGAACUCCCAAUACCACACUAUUAUUCACAAAGCUUUGUAGUCUGAAGAAUCUACUGAAAAACUGAAAAGUUGGGGGAAGGCUUUAAUGGUUCAUUUAGAUGCAACACUAUCUGAAUAAACCUUUGAAAAAUCUGAAGUCCAAAACUGCUUGACCAGAGUUAGGCAUAAUGUGGCAUUUUUUCUGCCCUGAACAAAAGCAAUUGUCACUCAUCUCCCAAUUCCACCAUUUUGCUUUUUACAACUCUUCCUUUCUCACCUCAAUUUAUUGUAAGCGUUACUUGUUUUCUCUCACAAUUUAUUAUGGGGUUUUAUACUUCCCUAAUGUGAAAAGUGAGUUUGUUCUGAGCUUGGCCCCCUUGGAUAGGUGCUCUGUGUGAGAUGGGAACCACAGGCAUAGCUAUAGUGGUAUUUUCUGAAGUGUGGUGGCAUGCCCUUGGCAUUAGGGCCCCUCACCAGUACCAUUAGGGGCCCACAUGGUGGCUUCCAUGUCAAUGGCUUCUGUGUCAGGCUAGUGGCUUCCCUGUCAUGGUAGAAAAGCAACUGUGGUCUGAACUUUAAAGGAGCUAUCCAAGGUGCUAACUUUUCUCCCCAAAAUUUAGUUUAGCACAAAGUAUAUCUCCUUUUGGACAGUGAAGACAGCUGACAAAAGGAGAAUUCAUAUUUGAAAUGUGAUAGUGGAGGAGACGUCUGCAGAUAGCAUGGAUUGCCAAAAGGACAGAUCAAUGGGUCUUAGAGCAAACCAAGACUGAACUCCCUCUAGGAGCCAAAAUGUCUGUCAUAUAUGGAAGAUAUCAUGAGAUGCCAUGACUUAUUUCACAAACAGUGAAAAUGGUAAAGAGGGAGGCAUACGGAAAAGAGGUAAAAGAUAUUAUAAGUGAAUAAUCUCAGUCAAGGAAGCCCCUUCCUUGAGCUUGCAGAGCUAUUAUUAAUAUGAUAUUUUGAAGGUCUCUUGCUCUUGGAGUUUCCAUAAGGCAAAGCAGACUUCAGAGCACUUGGCAACAAUGAUAACAUAGGUAUUUUAAAAUUUAGAUUAAAAUUUUCAUGACAUUAGGGUGGUAAACCCAAAUUCAUCAUGUUGUUGACACAGAUGCCACUAGCCGCCACUAGCUACACAAUCACUUAUUCUGGGACCACCUCAAAGUUCAAAAUAGUACUGGUUUAACAAAUUUCUGCAGUAUAAAAAUCACCAGGCAAAAGGUUUUGGGGAGAUAAGUAUUACCAUGAGCAUCACAUUUUUAUGGAGAUACAUCAUAUUUCUGCAACAGACAUAAGACCCAGGCUGCCACCGAUGUUGGCAACCAUUCUCUAUUGAGAUUUGCUGGGAUACUUUUUCUGCAUUUGGCUCUCCCAGUCAGCUCAACCCCAUGACUGGCAGAGGCACAGUCUCAUUCAUGUCUAAAACUGAACGUGUACAGUGGGCUACUUAUUCCCAGAAAACUGCCCUUAGUGGGGGAAAUGACAUCACUGUUGCUGCUUGGAAAAAAAAAAACCUCACUUCAUUUCAAUAGGACAUACCUGAAAAACAGCAUGGUUAUUAUUGCUAUGUAUAUAUGAAAUCCAAAAUCAACAAACCAAAAAUCCACCCCCAAAAUAUGUUUAGAUUUGUUUUCAUCUUGAAUAUUCUUGCUAAUGUGAAGCCACAAGUCAUGUAUACAUGAACAAGCACAACUGGUGACUUGCUACCUAUUGUCACCUUUUAUGUGAAUGCAUUGGGGAGAAGAAAGAAGUUGCAAAAAGCAUUUUUGUUUCUGCUCUGUAUGCAGCUGUCACAUAUCUACAUUUUUCUUUUGCAUUGCUGUUGCUUAACUAGCUUCAGCAAGUAUGUCUUGCUUUCAUUCACACAUGCUCUUCUAUAUGUGGCCAGAAUUAGAUGACAGCUUCAUGUAUCCCACAUGCUGAGAAAUUUAGUAAUUUUAUGCUCAGAAAUUAAUAUUAAUAUGUAGUUCUCACUUUUCAGGUGAUGAUGCCUAGUAUUGCUUCAAUUCUGCUGAGAAAGUCUUUGGACAUUUGCUUCAAAGUUCAAGCUUAAUGGUACCACUGGUGUUAUAGCAGGAGCUCUAAAGAGUAGGCCACAGUAUAUCUGUUUAUCUCUAAGGUCAGAUGCAGCUUCUAGCUUUCAUAACAUGGACCAGUGCAUCAGAAUGGUAAAAUAGCUAUUAA